CCGCCCUCCUCCCUCCGCCCUUCCUCCCCAGUGUUUGUUUCAAGCUUGUGCAACCGGGAGGUGGAGGCGGAGGGAGGGCGCGAGCGGCCCGGCCGGGAGGUGCGGAAGUUCGCCGCAGCAGCUCAUUGGCGGGCAGCGCCGCUUUCAUCAUUUCUCGGAAAAGUCAAUUUCAUUUUCGCUUCCCCAGGUCGCGGCGGCGGGAGCAACAAGCAGCGGCUCGUGAGUCCGCGGCUCGCACCCAGGGGCGCCCGCACGUGCGGCUAGAACGUCCGAGUCGGGGUCCGGGGCGGGGGGCGCAGGCCCGCGGCGGUAGGGGAGGAGAGCGGGCACCCGAGUCUCCAUCCUCAGGGUGGCCUGAAGGUUCCAGGAGGGCGUCCGGCGAAGGCACGGGGCUGCGACCAUCCAGUUAGCAGGGCUGGUGUGACUGUUGAGAGUAAAUGAAAAUUCGUUUUGUGACACCGACCACCUCCAAGGAAUGAAAGGAGCAGUCAGCCGAAACGACAGCAUUACUUGCGUCCUUACCUAAUUGGAACCUUAUCCGUGGCUGAGGGUGCCACCAUUGGAGGGGCCGCCGCCCCCUCUGACACCACCUGGCGCUCCGCUCCAUUUAGGAGCUAGAACGAAAAGGAGGCCCAUCCCCCAGUAAGUCACAGCCCACGCCAAGAUGAGUUCUGGAGCCUGUGCGACCGAAGUUUCUUCACCGCAGGGCGAGGUGGACAAGGGUGUGAGUUACUUUGACUUCAAGACGUCUCAGUGGCGGCUGGUUCUGGAGAGAGGCUUUAUGCUGGAGCACUUCCAGCAAAGUUCGGCUGGGGCCUCCUUAACUCACUGGCUGGUCACCCUUGGCCUCGGUUUUCAACCAAAGCCUAAGGCCUCAGUUUUCAACGCUGUAAAUGGAAAUAAAUGAGAGAAGAAAGUACAGCCCGUGUGACAAGUGCAGCAAGCAAUGCAACUUCCUUGGGACCUACCCUUUGUGGUCCCUUGCUUUAAAAGUAUAGAUUCACAUUUAGUUAGACCUGUUUCUUCCUCGCAUGCAAUUUCACCAGUCUUUUCCCAGACUUCUGUACUCAACAGAGGAAGUUCCUUCCUGGGAGACCAUAGCUGUUUGUAUGUAAAGAGUUGCGAAAAAACAAAAGCAAAACAAAAAACUCCAACACCUCUCUGUCACAGAAGUAUUGAAUUAUAUAGACUGGAAAAAUGGAAGUAUCCAAGAAAACGCGUGUGGUAAGAAAAUGGCUAAGGUGCAGGAUUCUGUUUUGUGGCUCUGGUCUCAGAAAUAGACCUCACAUACACAUUAUUCCUUAUCCCCUCUAUUAUAAUACUCACUUUUUUUUUUUUUUAAGAGACAGGGUAGGCCGGGUGCAGUGGCUCAUGCCUGUAAUCCCAGCAUUUUGGGAGGCCAAGGCAGGAGGAUCACCUGAGGUCGGGAGUUUGUGACCAGCCUGACCAACAUGGAGAAACUCCAUCUCUACUAAAAAUACAAAAUUAGCCAGGUUUGGUGGCGCAUGCCUCUAAUCCCAGCUACUUGGGAGGCUGAGGCAGGAGAAUUGCUUGAACCCAGGAGGCGCAGGUUGUGGUGAGCCGAGAUUGUGCCAUUGCACUCCAGCCUGGGCAACAAGAGCGAAACUCUGUCUCAAAAAAAAAAAAAAAAAAAAAAGAGAGGGUCUUGCUCUGUCACUCAGGUUGUGCUAUCAUAGCUUACUGUAACCUUGAACUCCUGGCCUUAAGCGAUCCUCCUGCUUCAACCUCCCAAGUAGCUGGGACUACAGGCCUGUGACAGUGCCUGGCCCAGGCACUGACUUUCUUAUGUCAUAUAGCAAUGACCACUAAGGGAAAGUCUAUACAAACUAUAGAAUAGUUGUCAUUCUUUACCCAACCCGGGACACAAGUUAAAAACCUAGUAUUCAUUUUUUUUUUCCUGUACCAAAACAAUCAUCUUCCUUUAUUUUUCCUGGAGCGGGAAGAGGAGAGUGGAGAAGAAGGGAAGAAUGCAAAGUGUCACUUUGAACUUCUCGUUCACCACACACGUGGGAGUCCACUCAUGUCAGCAGCCUCCGUGCACAGGCCCCAGGUGAAAGAAAGAAUGAGGUCUAGUUGGACCAGCUAACACUGCCUGCCUUGUGUUUACGAAAGGCAGCUGCCUCUGUGGUGUGAUUUCAGGGGAGCCAGACAGGGCCGGGGCCACGAACCUGCAUCCUGCAUCCUAAGCACCUAUUGCCAUGCGUGAGGCUAACUGGAAACUCACUUGCUGGGUGCAGAUAGCUUCCAAACUAUUGUGAUGCUCAUGCUUGACUUCCCAAGGAACGUGUUUCAGGAAAGGCCAUUGCCCUCAUUAUGGUCUUUGAUAAGCAGGAAGAAGUUUGUUGUUCCUUUUUUUUCUUAAUGCCCUACUUCGUGCAACAUACAUCCAAUCAGUCAUAUCCUAUUGACGCUACCCCUAAAUAUCUCUGGGCCUGGCCCGUGCUCAGGGCACUGCCUUCAUUCAGUUACUGCACUUGCCUGCUGCCUGUGCUCCUGGUCUCCUGCUUGGACUCCCCCAGGCCAGCAGCCACACUACUGCCAAAAUCCAGUCGAAAAUUAACUUCAGUGUGCAUUGGGAGACAUAGACUGCAAUGAAAAGAUCAUUAUUGCAAGAGACAAAUGGCAUGGAGCCACAUUCCCAGAGACAGAGUUUCACCAUGUUGCCCAGGCUGGUCUCAAACUCCUGAGCUCAAACCAUCACCCACCUCGGCUUCCCAAAGUGCUGGGAUUACAGGCGUGAGCCACCACAUCUGACCGCGGGAGUCCUUUUACCCAAAGCCACCCAACAGACCCACGCAGAGACUUUUAACCAGCAAUCGUCUCAGUUCCCUCUGAGGCUGCCGGCUCUCCCUGUGACAGCAGCCCAUCUUAGCCCUUCCUGUGUAUCUCUGCUGCCUAAAGGAUGAGAGUUUCCUAAAGUGUAGAACUGUGAGGGGUGGAGGGACAUUCCUCUCAUGCUGGCCUGAAUCCUGCACCUACUCUGGAGGUCUUUUGCCUUGUACCAUGGAGUUCGCCUACAUCACCUUGGAGAACCGACCCAGCACCUUCCAGGCCGGCUGGAUGCAUCCCCAGGAAGGAAGCCGCUGGUGGGGCCGGUCGCACUGAGUGCGCUUGGAGAACAAAGUGCUGUGUACAUUUCUGCUCAACACUACUCUAAGCCCACAGCGCCAGUUCAGAGGCUUUGGGAAGAGCAGGUGCCUUCAUCCAGUUUCCACUGUACCUCUUCUGAGGUACAGGAGAUAGAGGUCCCUCAUUUCAAGGUGACACUGGCAUCAGUCAAGCACAGAGCUAACCAACUGCCAAUCGUAAACAAGGAAGCCAGUGAGGACGCCCAAGGAAAGGCUCAGAAAGCUUCCGCCAGGGAGUGGGAUUUGAGCUCUACCUUACAGAACAGGUUGAAAAUAAAGAGCAGAGUAAUCAAAAGUAGAUUUAUGUGUGUAUAUGUAUCUGUUGCUAAUAUCCAGCCUUAAAAAUCCUUGACAGUGGCCUUCAGACUUAAACAUCUUCUCACUCCACCGAGAGCACCAAUCUGACAAACGCAUUCGGUCCUCUAGUCCAAUCCAGCUCAGUUUUCAAGCCAAGGGGAUUUUGCUGAAUUAUAUAUUCAAGAUAUCAGUAGAGUUAUAAAAGAAGGGUUGUUUCCCAGUUAAAUUAGGGAUGGUAGGAGGAAUCCUAGAUCCAACAUGUGGAAGAAAUAUGUGCAUUUAAUCAAAUCUCUAAGACAGCUCUUCAGCCUCUGAAAGCAUAGAUGGAAAACUAUCUCCUUGUGAUACUUUAACAGAUUCCUUAGGAACGAAAGAGAAAAGUUACAGUCAGUAACUUUUCAUGUCAGUGCCCGCAGACAUGAAUUCCUUGGCCCCUCUUAUAGCAUUCAUCAGUGGAUGGGCUGACGUAAUGACAGGCUCACUCAUUCAUGGUCACAUGCAGGAUGUACGGAAGAGUAGCUUCAAGUUAUUUGUUUUGUUUUUGGUUUUUUGUUUUUUUGAGACAGAGUCUCACUCUGUCGCCCAGGCUGGAGUGCAAUGGCACCAUUUUGGCUCACCGCAAGCUCCAUC
rnacentral:lncRNA from 1 species